rnacentral:rRNA from 1 species
AUUGAACGCUGGCGGCAUGCUUUACACAUGCAAGUCGAACGGUAACAGGCCGCAAGGUGCUGACGAGUGGCGAACGGGUGAGUAAUGCAUCGGAACGUGCCCAGUCGUGGGGGAUAACGCAGCGAAAGCUGUGCUAAUACCGCAUACGAUCUAUGGAUGAAAGCGGGGGACCGUAAGGCCUCGCGCGAUUGGAGCGGCCGAUGUCAGAUUAGGUAGUUGGUGGGGUAAAGGCCUACCAAGCCGACGAUCUGUAGCUGGUCUGAGAGGACGACCAGCCAAACUGGGACUGCGACACGGCCCAGACGCCUACGGGAGGCAGCAGUGGGGAAUUUUGGACAAUGGGCGCAAGCCUGAUCCAGCAAUGCCGCGUGCAGGAAGAAGGCCUUCGGGUUGUAAACUGCUUUUGUACGGAACGAAACGGCCUGGGUUAAUACCCUGGGCUAAUGACGGUACCGUAAGAAUAAGCACCGGCUAACUACGUGCCAGCCGCCGCCGUAAGAC